GAUGAACGCUGGCGGCGUGCUUAACACAUGCAAGUCGAACGGAAAGGCUCCUGCUUGCAGGGGUACUCGAGUGGCGAACGGGUGAGUAACACGUGGGUGAUCUGCCCUGCACUUCGGGAUAAGCCUGGGAAACUGGGGCUAAUACCGGAUAGGACGUUGGUUUGGAUGCCAUUGUGGAAAGUUUUUGCGGUGUGGGAUGAGUUCGCGGCUUAUCAGCUCGUUGGUGGGGUAAUGGCCUACUAAGGCGUCGACGGGUAGCCGGCCUGAGAGGGUGGACGGCCACAUUGGGACUGAGAUACGGCCCAGACUCCUACGGGAGGCAGCAGUGGGGAAUAUUGCACAAUGGGCGCAAGCCUGAUGCAGCGACGCCGCGUGGGGGAUGACGGCCUUCGGGUUGUAAACACCUUUCGCUAGGGACGAAGCGCAAGUGACGGUACCUGGAGAAGAAGCACCGGCUAACUACGUG
rnacentral:rRNA from 1 species